rnacentral:rRNA from 1 species
UACGGAGGGUGCGAGCGUUGUCCGGAAUCAUUGGGCGUAAAGCGCGCGUAGGCGGCCCCGUAAGUCCGCUGUGAAAGUCAAAGGCUCAACCUUUGAAAGCCGGUGGAUACUGUGGGGCUAGAGUACGGAAGAGGCGAGUGGAAUUCCUGGUGUAGCGGUGGAAUGCGCAGAUAAUCAGGAGGAACACCAAUAGCGAAGGCAGCUCGCUGGGACGUUACUGACGCUGAGGCGCGAAAGCGUGGGGAGCGAACAGG